GAGUUCAAUAGUACGUGAAACCGUUCAGGGGUAAACCUGAGAAACCCGAAAGGUCGAAAGGGGAGAUUCAGCGUGUCUCGAUGGCGGCGUUGAACGGUCGUGAGACGGAAGGUGUACGCGCCACCCGCUCCUUUCGUUCAUUGAACUGCUGUCGAACGCGUGCACUUCUCCUCCAGUAGGACGUCGCGAUCCGUUGGGUGCCGGUCUAAGGCCCGCGGUGGAGCCCGUUCGGACGGUUUGCCGUUCCGGACGACCCCGCGGUGUUUCCCGAUCGGCUCGCUCGACGGUAGACAUGUGGCGCGGGGCCGCUACAUUACAGUUAGCGUUCGACCCGUGGCAAGCGCGCUCGUCGUGAUGGUGAUCGGACCUGGUGCCGGUCCUGUCCCCGAGUGGCUGUUCGCUGCGGAGUUCUCGAACAGACCUCGUUGAAACGCCGAUCUGCGGCGCUAUAGCUUUGGGUACUUUCAGGACCCGUCUUGAAACACGGACCAAGGAGUCUAGCAUGUGCGCGAGUCAUUGGGACAUGACUAAACCUAAAGGCACAAUGAAAGUAAAAGUCCGCCUUGCGCGGACUCAGGGAGGAUAGGUGGUUGUUACGGCUGCCGCCUCGCACUCCCGGGGCGUCUCGUUCUCAUUGCGAGAAGAGGCGCACCAACAGCGUACACGCUGGGACCCGAAAGAUGGUGAACUAUGCCUGGUCAGGACGAAGUCAGGGGAAACCCUGAUGGAGGUCCGUAGCGAUUCUGACGUGCAAAUCGAUCGUCGGAACUGGGUAUAGGGGCGAAAGACUAAUCGAACCAU
rnacentral:rRNA from 1 species